rnacentral:rRNA from 1 species
AGUAAUGCUUGGGAAUCUAGCUUAUGGAGGGGGAUAACUACGGGAAACUGUAGCUAAUACCGCGUAGAAUCGAGAGAUGAAAGUGUGGGACCUUCGGGCCACAUGCCAUAGGAUGAGCCCAAGUGGGAUUAGGUAGUUGGUGAGGUAAAGGCUCACCAAGCCGACGAUCUCUGGCUGGUCUGAGAGGAUGACCAGCCACACUGGGACUGAGACACGGCCCAG